GAAAUGCGAUAAGUAAUGUGAAUUGCAGAAUUCAGUGAAUCAUCGAAUCUUUGAACGCACCUUGCGCUCCUUGGUAUUCCUUGGAGCAUGCCUGUUUGAGUAUCAUGAAAUCUUCAAAGUAAAUCUUUUGUUAACUCAAUUGGUUUCUACUUUGGUAUUAGAGGUCUUUGCAGCUUCACACCUGCUCCUCUUUGUUCAUUAGCUGGAUCUCAGUGUUAUGCUUGGUUCCACUCGGCGUGAUAAGUUAUCUAUAGCUGAGGACACUGUAAAAGGUGGCCAAGGUAAAUGCAGAUGAACCGCUUCUAAUAGUCCAUUGACUUGGACAAUACUUUUAUGAUCUGAUCUCAAAUCAGGUAGGACUACCCGCUGAACUUAAGC
rnacentral:misc_RNA from 1 species